GGGUGAGUAACACGUGGGAACCUGCCCUGGGGUCCGGGAUAGCUGCGGGAAACUGCAGGUACACCGGAUACGCCCUUAGGGGGAAAAUUCAUGCCCUGGGAUGGGCCCGCGUCGGAUUCAGGUAGUUGGUGGGAUAGUGGCCUACCAAGCCUGCGAUCCGUAACCGGUCUGAGAGGAUGACUCGGUCACAAUGGGACUGAGACACGGUCCAGACUCAUACGGGAGGCAGCAGUGGGGAAUCUUGGACAAUGGGGGCAACCCUGAUCCAGCGACGCCGUGUAGAGUAUGAAGGCCUUCGGGUCGUAAAGCCCUUUUGCCGGGGAAGAUGAUGACGGUCCCGGAGAAGAAGCACCGGCUAACUCUGUGCCAG
rnacentral:rRNA from 1 species